rnacentral:rRNA from 1 species
UACGUAGGGUGCGAGCGUUGUCCGGAAUUAUUGGGCGUAAAGGGCUCGUAGGCGGUUUGUCGCGUCGGGAGUGAAAACACCGGGCUUAACUCGGUGCUUGCUUUCGAUACGGGCAGACUAGAGGCAUGCAGGGGAGAACGGAAUUCCUGGUGUAGCGGUGAAAUGCGCAGAUAUCAGGAGGAACACCGGUGGCGAAGGCGGUUCUCUGGGCAUGUCCUGACGCUGAGGAGCGAAAGUGUGGGGAGCGAAUGGG